rnacentral:lncRNA from 1 species
ACUUACCAUAACAUUUAAUUAAAAAUACAACAAUUAAUAAUUAGAUUCGGAUUAUAGAAAUACAAACCAGGAAUUUCGAGCUAUUCCUCGUCGACUAUAUUUUUCCCCUUUUUAGUCGAGAAUUUCGGUACGACGAUUGUUACGGAAUUAAAACAAUUAAAAAUCAUCAAUACAACACCAUUCAAUCUCACAUUAAAUAUUUCAAUUUUUACUCAAUAUUUGCCUAAAUUUCAAUUUAGUCCCUGAAUCGAGACUACUUUUUAUUCUCAAAACUAAUUUCAUAUUUUCAUUGCAUUCCCACUUUAAACUAAUUUAACACUCUAAUUUCACCAUAAAUCCUUAGUUUUGAAAUUCUCUCAAUUUAGUCCCUAUUAAUUCAAAACCUAUAAUUUAUUUUACAAAUCAACCCUUUACUAACUUCUAACUUGAAAUUCAAUCAAUUUAACCCCCAAUUCGUCAAUUAAUUCAACACAACUCAUGUCUAAAAAUCAACUAUAUAACUUCUAACUUGAAAUUCAAUCAAUUUAACCCCCAAUUCGUCAAUUAAUUCAACACAACUCAUGUCUAAAAAUCAACUAUCUUUAAAAAUUUCAACAUAAACCAUGAAAUAUUUUGUUCUAAAACUCCAAAAACUCAAAAAUUACAAGAAAAGGGAUUAAAUUAACUUACCAAAUUAACUUUGAACUUUGAAACUCCAAAUUCUCCUCUCUUUUUUUUCUGUUCUUUCUCCUUUCUCCUUCUCUGUUUCGUUUUUCAAUUCUGUUUCCUUUCUUCUUU